CAAAUACUCCCUCCGUCCGAAAAUAUUUAUCAUCAAAAUGAACAAAAAGGAUGUAUCCACAACAAAAAUGUGUCUAGAUACAUCCCCUUUUAUCCAUUUUGAUGACAAGUAUUUCUGGACGGAAGGAGUACGUU
rfam:Triticum urartu cultivar G1812 contig836018, whole genome shotgun sequence.